CCGAUGGCGACCGGCGCACGGGUGAGUAACACGUAUCCAACCUGCCGAUAACUCGGGGAUAGCCUUUCGAAAGAAAGAUUAAUACCCGAUGGCAUAAUAGAAUCGCAUGGUUUGAUUAUUAAAGAAUUUCGGUUAUCGAUGGGGAUGCGUUCCAUUAGGCAGUUGGUGGGGUAACGGCCCACCUAGUCUUCGAUGGAUAGGGGUUCUGAGAGGAAGGUCCCCCACAUUGGAACUGAGACACGGUCCAA
rnacentral:rRNA from 1 species